rnacentral:lncRNA from 12 species
CGAGAGACAAGCAAACCCUUCCCCAAGUGCAGAGCACUGGCUGCUGCAUUGCAGGCUUUGCUGGCACAGAAUGACGGGCAGUAACAGUGUUUAAAAUCUUACACCUGAAGUUUGUGCUGGAGACUGAUGGAGGAAGGGAUGGAAGAACUGCUAUUGCUGCUGAUUGUCACUUCAAAUCUUGGGGGAUGAGUCUUCUGGAAGUGAAUGGGAACUGAUCAUCUCUCUACAGACUUCUUGAGUCAUCUCACAGAAUUUAACAGAAAAUAAUUCUUUCACUUCAAAUUGAUAUAAUGUAGCUUAAAAGUGCUUGAAGAUAGAAGAUGUGUUCAUUUCCACAAUCUAACUUAUCAGCUGGGAUAAAUUAACUCUCUGAAUUCUGUGCAAUUCUGUAUGUAUACCAUCUCUAAAUAGGUAGACUAUCAUACGUAUAUUUGCACUGCUUUAGUAGUUCCAUCUCUGCGGCUUUCAUAAAAAGAUAACAGCCAUUUUUACAUUUGCUUUGCCUGACUGAUGAGUUAAUCUCCGUGCAAAUUUUCCAGCCCCGUUGUGAAACCUCUGAAAUGGAUGGUAAAGAAAGUUUUGAUGAAACUUAACUAGAGUCGG